rnacentral:rRNA from 1 species
GUUACAGGCUUAACACAUGCAAGUCGAGGGGCAGCAUGGUCUUAGCUUGCUAAGGCCGAUGGCGACCGGCGCACGGGUGAGUAACACGUAUCCAACCUGCCGUCUACUCUUGGACAGCCUUCUGAAAGGAAGAUUAAUACAAGAUGGCAUCAUGAGUCCGCAUGUUCACAUGAUUAAAGGUAUUCCGGUAGACGAUGGGGAUGCGUUCCAUUAGAUAGUAGGCGGGGUAACGGCCCACCUAGUCUUCGAUGGAUAGGGGUUCUGAGAGGAAGGUCCCCCACAUUGGAACUGAGACACGGUCCAAACUCCUACGGGAGGCAGCAGUGAGGAAUAUUGGUCAAUGGGCGAGAGCCUGAACCAGCCAAGUAGCGUGAAGGAUGACUGCCCUAUGGGUUGUAAACUUCUUUUAUAAAGGAAUAAAGUCGGGUAUGGAUACCCGUUUGCAUGUACUUUAUGAAUAAGGAUCGGCUAACUCCGUGCCAGCAGCCGCGGUAAUACGGAGGAUCCGAGCGUUAUCCGGAUUUAUUGGGUUUAAAGGGAGCGUAGAUGGAUGUUUAAGUCAGUUGUGAAAGUUUGCGGCUCAACCGUAAAAUUGCAGUUGAUACUGGAUAUCUUGAGUGCAGUUGAGGCAGGCGGAAUUCGUGGUGUAGCGGUGAAAUGCUUAGAUAUCACGAAGAACUCCGAUUGCGAAGGCAGCCUGCUAAGCUGCAACUGACAUUGAGGCUCGAAAGUGUGGGUAUCAAACAGGAUUAGAUACCCUGGUAGUCCACACGGUAAACGAUGAAUACUCGCUGUUUGCGAUAUACUGCAAGCGGCCAAGCGAAAGCGUUAAGUAUUCCACCUGGGGAGUACGCCGGCAACGGUGAAACUCAAAGGAAUUGACGGGGGCCCGCACAAGCGGAGGAACAUGUGGUUUAAUUCGAUGAUACGCGAGGAACCUUACCCGGGCUUAAAUUGCAGAUGAAUUACGGUGAAAGCCGUAAGCCGCAAGGCAUCUGUGAAGGUGCUGCAUGGUUGUCGUCAGCUCGUGCCGUGAGGUGUCGGCUUAAGUGCCAUAACGAGCGCAACCCUUGUUGUCAGUUACUAACAGGUUCCGCUGAGGACUCUGACAAGACUGCCAUCGUAAGAUGUGAGGAAGGUGGGGAUGACGUCAAAUCAGCACGGCCCUUACGUCCGGGGCUACACACGUGUUACAAUGGGGGGUACAGAGGGCCGCUACCACGCGAGUGGAUGCCAAUCCCCAAAACCUCUCUCAGUUCGGACUGGAGUCUGCAACCCGACUCCACGAAGCUGGAUUCGCUAGUAAUCGCGCAUCAGCCACGGCGCGGUGAAUACGUUCCCGGGCCUUGUACACACCGCCCGUCAAGCCAUGGGAGCCGGGGGUACCUGAAGUGCGUAACCGCGAGGAGCGCCCUAGGGUAAAACUGGUGACUGGGGCUAAGU